rnacentral:rRNA from 1 species
GAUGAGCGCUGGCGGCGUGCCUAAUACAUGCAAGUCGAGCGAACGGACGAGAAGCUUGCUUCUCUGAUGUUAGCGGCGGACGGGUGAGUAACACGUGGAUAACCUACCUAUAAGACUGGGAUAACUUCGGGAAGCCGGAGCUAAUACCGGAUGAUAUUUUGAACCGCAUGGUUCAAAAGUGAAAGACGGUCUUGCUGUCACUUAUAGAUGGAUCCGCGCUGCAUUAGCUAGUUGGUAAGGUAACGGCUUACCAAGGCAACGAUGCAUAGCCGACCUGAGAGGGUGAUCGGCCACACUGGAACUGAGACACGGUCCAGACUCCUACGGGAGGCAGCAGUAGGGAAUCUUCCGCAAUGGGCGAAAGCCUGACGGAGCAACGCCGCGUGAGUGAUGAAGGUCUUCGGAUCGUAAAACUCUGUUAUUAGGGAAGAACAUAUGUGUAAGUAACUGUGCACAUCUUGACGGUACCUAAUCAGAAAGCCACGGCUAACUACGUG